rnacentral:rRNA from 1 species
UAAACUAGGAUUAGAUACCCUAUUAUUUUAAAUAUAAAUUAUUGCCUAGGUAAUAAUAGUUUUGUUCUUUAAACCUAAAGAAUUUGGCGGUGUUUUAGUCUAUUCAGAGGAAUUUGCCCCAUUAUCGAUAAUCCUCGUUUUAUCUUGCUUAAUUUAAUUAGUAUGUAUACCGCCGUUAUAAGCUUAUUUUUUAAGGAUUUAUUUGCUAGAUAGUUUAUUUUCUUUUAUUUCA